UACGUAGGUGACCAGCGUUGUCCGGAUUUACUGGGCGUAAAGAGCGCGCAGGCGGUCGUUCAAGUCGAGUGUGAAAGCCCCCCGGCUCAACUGGGGAGGGUCACUCGAUACUGAUCGACUUGAAGGCAGGAGAGGGAAGCGGAAUUCCCGGUGUAGUGGUGAAAUGCGCAGAUAUCGGGAGGAACACCUAUGGCGAAGGCAGCUCGCUGGGACGUUACUGACGCUGAGACGGCGAAAGCUAGGG
rnacentral:rRNA from 1 species